UACGAAGGGGGCUAGCGUUGUUCGGAAUUACUGGGCGUAAAGAGCGUGUAGGCGGCCAAGCAGGUCCGUUGUGAAAACUGGAGGCUUAACCUCCAGACGUCGACGGAAACCGCGUGGCUAGAGUCCGGAAGAGGAGAGUGGAAUUCCUGGUGUAGCGGUGAAAUGCGCAGAUAUCAGGAAGAACACCAAUGGCGAAGGCAGCUCUCUGGGACGGUACUGACGCUGAGACGCGAAAGCGUGGGGAGCGAACAGG
rnacentral:rRNA from 1 species